rnacentral:rRNA from 1 species
CGCCUGUUUAUCAAAAACAUGUCUUUUUGUUAAUUGUUCAAGGUUUGGCCUGCUCCAUGAGGUGUUAAAUAGCCGCAGUAUAUUGACUGUGCGAAGGUAGCAUAAUCAUUAGUUUUUUAAUUGAAAGCUGGAAUGAAUGGUCGGAUGAGGAAAAAACUGUCUCAUUUCAAUUUUAUUUGAAUUUUAUUUUUAAGUUAAAAAGCUUAGAUUUAAUAAAAAGACGAGAAGACCCUAUAGAGUUUAAUAGGUAAAGAUUUAAUGAUUUUAGGUUUAAAUUUUCAUUUAAUUGGGACUUAUUUUGUUGGGGUGACAUGAGAAUAUAAUUAACUUCUUUUAUUUGUUAACAUAGAUUAAUGGAAGUAUGAUCCUUUAUUUAAGAUUAUAAGAUAAAAUUACCUUAGGGAUAACAGCGUAAUUUUUUCAGAGAGUUCUUAUCGAUGAGGAAGAUUGCGACCUCGAUGUUGGAUUAAAGUUGAUUUCUGGUGCAGAAGCUGGGAUAUUAAGUCUGUUCGACUUUUGAAACUUUACGUGAUCUGAGUUUAGACCGG